UACGGGGGGAGCAAGCGUUGUUCGGAUUUACUGGGCGUAAAGGGCGCGUAGGCGGUAAACUAAGUGUGAUGUGAAAGCCCCGGGCUUAACCUGGGAAGUGCAUCGCAAACUGGUUAACUAGAGUAUAUGAGAGGGUGGCGGAAUUUCCGGUGUAGCGGUGAAAUGCGUAGAGAUCGGAAGGAACGUCGAUGGCGAAGGCAGCCACCUGGCAUAAUACUGACGCUGAGGCGCGAAAGCGUGGGGAGCGAACAGG
rnacentral:rRNA from 1 species